GGUUGCUGGAGGACCACAGCUCAGGAUCUUAUCUGGGAGAUGUAUGGCUGCAAUGGAAUUUUAUCCCAUGCUAUUUCCAGCUUUUCCUGAUAAAACCAGUUCGGAUGCAGGGGACAGCUGAGUGCUCUUGCCCCUGCCAGUAGGACCAUGGCCAGGGCUCAUCUCACUGCGGGGCGACCAUCUGCUGCCACUUAACAGCACAGGAAACCACCACUGAACAAAAGCAUCCACUCGUAGAGCAUCCCACCUCCUGCAACAAAAUGGAGGCAUAAAGGCAAUGCUACUUCAUCACAUACAAUUUACAGUGAAGAGAGGACAGCAAACAGUUUAUCCUUGCAGUUCUCCCCUGUUUCCAUCCACUUCAUAUUCCUAAGGUCUUUGAAAAAAGGAUUAGAAGCACAUACAUAACAGCAGAUGACCCUUGAUCUAGUAGACUACCACAAGCACAUGAAAGAUAUUCUGGCCAGCAGAGCCAUGGGUAUUGCUGGUGUUAUAUUUGGCUAAAAUCUUACCACCAAUCUCAGCUUCUGGCAUGGAAAGAAAGAAAUCCUUUUCCAAGGGGCACAGAAAGGAUACAGAGCUACAAACCUGAAGGCAAGACCCAUCCCUUGCAAUCUUUGCAUGAGGUGAAGAAAAUGAAGGAAAUGAAUAAACUGCCCACCUGCUAAAAUUGAUGCUGCAAACUGCCCCCAGGAGAACUGCCAAGGAAUCCAGCCUCAUAUUUCCUGGGGAAUGCAAGAGCUCCACUGUGGCUCCUCAAACUCUGCUCCCAUCCUUGCCCUUCUGCCCAGGAAAUACCAUUUAAUGCAUGUGCCCAGUUACUGUGACAACUUUGA